AGUUGGGGAUAGCCUGUGGAAACACAGGGGUAAUACCGGAUGAGAUGUCAAUGAUUGAACUAUGGCAUGAAAGUGGGCCACGGCCACGCUGCAGGAUGAGCUUGCGGCUCAUUAGCUAGUUGGGGGUGUAACGGACCACCAAGGCGACGAUGAGUAGCCGGCCUGAGAGGGUGAACGGCCACAUUGGGACUGAGACACGGCCCAGACUCCUACGGGAGGCAGCAGCUAAGAAUAUUCCGCAAUGGGGGGAACCCUGACGGAGCGACGCCGCGUGAACGAUGAAGGGCCAGAGAUGUUGUAAAGUUCUUUUAUCGCUGAAGAAUAACCGGUGCAGGGAAUGGCACCGGGAUGACGUUAGGCGAUGAAUAAGCCACGGCUAACUACGUGCCAGCCGCAGC
rnacentral:rRNA from 1 species